GGGCGGUUAGCUCAGUUGGUUAGAGUACUUGCUUGACAUGCAAGGGGUCACCGGUUCAAAUCCAGUACCGCCCAC
rnacentral:tRNA from 2 species